rnacentral:rRNA from 1 species
CCCUAGUAACUGCGAGUGAAGCGGGAAAAGCUCAAAUUUAAAAGCUGGUAGUCUUAGGCUGCCCGCGUUGUAAUCUAGAGAAGUGUUAUCCGCGCUGGACCGUGUACAAGUCUCCUGGAAUGGAGCGUCAUAGAGGGUGAGAAUCCCGUCUUUGACACGGACUGCCAGGGCUUUGUGAUGCGCUCUCAAAGAGUCGAGUUGUUUGGGAAUGCAGCUCAAAAUGGGUGGUAAAUUCCAUCUAAAGCUAAAUAUUGGCGAGAGACCGAUAGCGAACAAGUACCGUGAGGGAAAGAUGAAAAGAACUUUGGAAAGAGAGUUAAACAGUACGUGAAAUUGCUGAAAGGGAAACGCUUGAAGUCAGUCGCGUCGGUCGGGGAUCAACCUUGCUUUUGCUUGGCGUACUCUCCGGUUGACGGGCCAGCAUCAAUUUUGGCCGCUGGAAAAAGGCAAAGGGAAUGUGGCAUCUUCGGAUGUGUUAUAGCCCUUCGUCGCAUACAGUGGCUGGGAUUGAGGAACUCAGCACGCCGCAAGGCCGGGUUUUUAACCACGUUCGUGCUUAGGAUGCUGGCAUAAUGGCUUUAAUCGACCCGUCUUGAAACACGGACCAAGGAGUCUAACAUGCCUGCGAGUGUUUGGGUGGAAAACCCGAGCGCGUAAUUAAAGUGAAAGUUGAGAUCCCUGUCGUGGGGAGCAUCGACGCCCGGACCAGACCUUUUGUGACGGAUCUGCGGUAGAGCAUGUAUGUUGGGACCCGAAAGAUGGUGAACUAUGCCUGAAUAGGGUGAAGCCAGAGGAAACUCUGGUGGAGGCUCGUAGCGAUUCUGACGUGCAAAUCGAUCGUCAAAUUUGGGUAUAGGGGCGAAAGACUAAUCGAACCAUCUAGUAGCUGG